GCAGUAGGAGUUAAUUGGUAGAAUUCUCGCCUUCCAUGUGGGAGACCCGGUUCGAUUCCUAGCUAAUGCA
rnacentral:tRNA from 1 species